rnacentral:rRNA from 1 species
AUAUUGGCGAGAGACCGAUAGCGAACAAGUACCGUGAGGGAAAGAUGAAAAGCACUUUGGAAAGAGAGUGAAACAGUACGUGAAAUUGUUGAAAGGGAAACGCUUGAAGUCAGUCGCGUCCGCCAGGAUUCAGCCUCACGGUGUACUUUCUGGUGGACGGGCCAGCAUCACUUUCAAUCAUCGGACAAGGUCGAGAGGAAUGUGGCACCUUCGGGUGUGUUAUAGCCUCUUGUCGUAUACGGUGACUGGGAGUGAGGACCGCCUUUGUAGGAUGCUGGCGUAAUGGCUUUAAACGACCCGUCUUGAAACACGGAC